UGGGUUUGCCUCAGCUCAUGCACUUUCUCCCGAGUGCGCAGCUCCAGGAAGCAGUGUUUUCUGGAUGACCCAUGCACUGUGUUACAAAAUCACGCCUGGGUAAACCAUCCAUUCCAAAUUUGGGGCGGGCCAGCUGAGGAGAAUGUCACAGAGUACAGAAGUUCACUGAUAAGCUCAGGUUCCACACCACAGUGAGCCUUUCAGAAACUACCACUUGUCCAGUCUUAGCUUAAGUUGAAGAAUAUCCAGUUAUGUAAAAGGCUGAAGUUGCCCGCCCCUGUCCAGCCAGCUGUCCAGAGGAGGCAGGAUUUUCUUCCUAGUCUCUUGUCAAAACUCAUCUCAGCAGACUGACUGCAAAAGCAGAUUUCAGCCACUAUUCUCAAUAAGAGUUUUACUUUGAAAUAUAGUGAUCAUCUAUAGCCAAAACCACAUCAACAAAGGCAGCUCAGGGCCUCGGUCAUGUUUAAAUUGAAUGGAGCUCUGGUCCUUGAGGCUGCAAGGCAGGUGGCGGAAUCACUGAGCUAAAUCCCGGCUGGCCAGCGUGCUUUUAAUGGCUGUGGGAUCAGACCGAAGAAGAGCAUUUGCAUGGGCCAGGCGGGAGGAGGCCCCUCAGGACUCUGUGUUUGCUUAGGAGGGGGCUGCACUCUCUGCUGUUUCUCUUUCCUGCUCACUCUUGGAAAGGAAACCAGUUAUUUCACCGGGUGGGAGAACCUGAGUGUUGGGUUGUUAGUCCCCUCUGUGGCUAGGGCAGUGGUCUGAUAGGGGUCUGGAGCCGCAGCUGGGCUUGGGGGUGACCCCCAGCUCUGGGACCAGGGACAGUUGCAUUCCCCCCACUCCUGGGUAAGGGGAAGCAGAGUGCAGCAGGUCCAUCUGCCACCCUCCCAAGUGGGGAGAAGCCUUUUAGCAGGAGUGGCUUCUGCUUGGCUUGGCCCACUGCCUGCUUGGGGAAACAACUUCACGAUAGCAUCACAUCAAAAUCUUUGGAUAUUCUGCAAGUUUAUCUAAAAAAAAUAAAUCUAAUUCAGCCAAAGCUGGUUUUGUUUUUGGAUAAAAAUUCAAAAACCAAUGGGUAAUCUAUGUAAAUAGGGAAGGAUGGAGGGGUGAAGGGCGCACAGGUAAUGGGGAAAAAAA
rnacentral:lncRNA from 1 species